AUACGGGGGGGGCGAGCGUUGUCCGGAAUCAUUGGGCGUAAAGGGUGAGUAGGCGGGAUGGUAAGUCAGAGGUGAAAGUCCAGGGCUCAACUCUGGAUCUGCCUCUGAUACUGCUGUCCUUGAGUGCGGGAGAGGGAAGUGGAAUUCCCGGUGUAGCGGUGAAAUGCGUAGAUAUCGGGAAGAACACCAGUGGCGAAGGCGGCUUCCUGGCCCGCAACUGACGCUGAAUCACGAAAGCGUGGGGAGCAAACAGGAUUAGAAACCCUUGUAGUCC
rnacentral:rRNA from 1 species